rnacentral:ncRNA from 2 species
GUCAUGCGUUGGGGGUAUCGGUUGAAGCCGAUUGAGACAAACCCUUCGAACUUGACCCGAUUUAUAUCGGCGGAAGGAAACGCGGACACGUCCGG